AGUGAACGCUGGCGGCAGGCCUAACACAUGCAAGUCGAACGGCAGCACAGCAGUAGCAAUACUGUGGGUGGCGAGUGGCGGACGGGUGAGGAAUACAUCGGAAUCUGCCCAGUCGUGGGGGAUAACGUAGGGAAACUUACGCUAAUACCGCAUACGACCUUAGGGUGAAAGCGGGGGAUCGCAAGACCUCGCGCGAUUGGAUGAGCCGAUGUCGGAUUAGCUAGUUGGCGGGGUAAAGGCCCACCAAGGCGACGAUCCGUAGCUGGUCUGAGAGGAUGAUCAGCCACACUGGAACUGAGACACGGUCCAGACUCCUACGGGAGGCAGCAGUGGGGAAUAUUGGACAAUGGGCGCAAGCCUGAUCCAGCCAUGCCGCGUGGGUGAAGAAGGCCUUCGGGUUGUAAAGCCCUUUUGUCCGGAAAGAAAUCCUGUCGAUUAAUACUCGGCGGGGAUGACGGUACCGGAAGAAUAAGCACCGGCUAACUUCGUGCCAGCCGCCGCAGUAAGAC
rnacentral:rRNA from 1 species